AGUGUAUGAUUUGUGGAAAGAAUUUGGGAAGAAAUCAAAAAGCAAAUUUUCGAUGGCAAAGAAGUAGAUGUCUCAAGCAAGAAGCCAGGAAGAGCUGGCCGAAAGAGAAAGGAGCUGGAUCUAGCAAGGACCUCAACAAUCCCACUGAAUAAAAGAAGGACAAUUCGAUCUCUGGCAUGGUCUCUAGGUGGCUUGAUCGACCCUACAUAA
rnacentral:rRNA from 1 species